rnacentral:rRNA from 1 species
CGGGCCUCAAGACUAGCCAUGCACGUCUAAGUACAAACUAAAUGAUGGUGAAACUGCAAAUGGCUCAUUACAACGGUUAUGAUGUACCCGGGAGUUCCGAUGGAUAUUUCCAGUAACACUAGAACUAAUACAUGUCCCUGCGUUUAUUAGUUUCGCACAGUCCGUCGCUGAGUCAUGGUAAACAGUUGAUCGACUCGACGUCCCGGAACAGUUUCCGCCCCAUCAGCUUCGAUGGUUGGGUAUUGGCCUACCAUUGCAACAACGGGUAACGAGGAAUUAGGGUUUGAUUUCGGAGAGGGAGCCUGAGAAACGGCUACCACAUCUACGGAUGGCAGCAGGCGCGCAAAUUACCCAAUGCAGACACUGUGAGGUAGUGACGAGAAAUAAUAAAGCGGGACUUCUGUUUCGCUAUUAUAAUGAGGAAUAACCAAAGGUCAUUCCGAUUAGCAACUGAUGGGAAAGUCUGGUGCCAGCAGCCGCGGUAAUACCAGCGUCAGUAG